UUUGAUAUUAUUAUUCCCGGAAGUGAAAUACCAGAAUGGUUUAGCCAACAAAAAAGUGGCUUUUCAAUUAAGAUACCCCUACCUAUCAACCUUCGGAAAGAUAGUCAAUGGAUUGGAGUUGCUUCUUGCUACAGUUUUGUCAAUAAUGAUGCUUCAUGCGAUAUCGAGGUUGUCGAUUGUGAAGCAUUUAUCUAUUGUAGAAAUUCUGAAGAAGCCAGCUGUAAUGGAUCUAUUUUUCAAGGUAGAAAUCGUCGACAAAUUGAUUGGAGUGGCUGGUUGGUGGGUAAACGAUUUAACGAGCCCAUAAUGAAAGAUCACCUUUUUCUUCGUUAUUGGCCGCGUAAUAAACUAUAUCCAAUUUCCAUGGAGGAUAAAUAUGGUGACUGUGAAACCAAUAAUUUAUGGACAACAGAUUGUUUAGAUUGGAAAUGCGAUGAGCUCGAGUUGUCUUUCAUUAAAAGCAGUGUUAAGGUGAAGAAGUGUGGUGUUAGAAUAGUGUAUGAGAAAGAUUUGGAAGAAGUAAAAGAGUUGCAGUGCCAUACCACUCAAUCUUCUCCAGAUCAUGAACACAUCCACCAACACUCUGCUCACAACGAUGAUCCAUCAGUAAGUAUCACUUCUCACAUAAAAGGAAAACGUAAUAUCUAUGAGGAAGCAGAGGAAGAAGGGCCGCAAUUAUAAUGUGCCAAUCGGGGAAGAACCAUUAACUAUGGUUGAAGUAAAUAUAAUAAAUUUGAGACACAAAUAUGGAGAAAAAUGGAUAGCUUUCAUGACGAAGCAAGUAAUAAUAAGGUGAAAAUCUUUUAAUGAGAAUUUGAUCAUAAUUUCGAUGGGAAAGGAUUGUAUGAAACAGUGACGUCAUGUUAUCUGUAUCCCUUUUCCAAUAGUUUUAUGCCAUAUCAGCAUUCUCAUCCUGAAUUUCAGUAUUUUCAUCUUGAAAAAAAUCAAAUCCAAAUUAAAUUCCUGAAAUUCAGGAUAAGAAUAUUGAUGUGGCAUAAAACUAUUGGAGAGGGAUAAUACCCCUGUUUCAUACAAUACUUUCUCAAUUUCGAUUGAGUUAAAAGUACUGGGUUUAAUUCGUUCUAAUAAAAGUAACAUUUAACUUU